UACACGGUGAAAAUGCUGCCUGUACUUGGAGAUUUCCUUUACCUUAACUAAUGAGAGAAGUGGGCGACUAACUCCAAGGAUUUCCAUUUUAAUUUUCUUCAAAGCCUUGAUAGCCAAUAUAUGUUGGAACUACAGUUCCAACUUCCUGCUUGAGAACCAAUUACAGUUACAAAGGUUGGUCAGUCCCGUAACUGUCUCUAUAGUUACUGUUAACUUCAAGGAAGCAAGAUCUCCCAUUCUCUUCUAAGCACAAGGAGCCCUUCAAGAUGAAU